AUCUAGCUGAAGAGUCCCAAAUAGGACGAAAUGCUCGUCAUGGAU
rnacentral:hammerhead_ribozyme from 1 species